AGACUCCAUUUGAUGCUAUGUGGUGUUAUCAAAUGUGCUAAAAAGGCUGGUGGCGAUUAGAGAUUACAAUUAUGUUUUCCCAAAUAUCUCCUUCCAGAUUCUGGAGAAAUUGUUGACAUUUCAUAAUGGGCUCUUUGAAACUCUCCAAAAAGCAUUUUGGAUCAUUAUAGGACAAGGUAGGCUCUCAAACUACUCAGAAAAUAAUUGGAGAUUUGGCAGGAGGAUUAUUUCCCAUUCCAGGUA
rnacentral:lncRNA from 1 species